rnacentral:sRNA from 1 species
ACAGAUACAAUCCUUGCAUGAGUGAACUAGGCAGAAUACACUGGCACUCAGGACCCUAUUCCAGAACAAACACACCCCAGGAAGAUG